UACGAAGGGGGCUAGCGUUGCUCGGAAUCACUGGGCGUAAAGCGCACGUAGGCGGCUUUCUAAGUCAGGGGUGAAAUCCUGGAGCUCAACUCCAGAACUGCCUUUGAUACUGGAGAGCUUGAGUUCGGGAGAGGUGAGUGGAACUGCGAGUGUAGAGGUGAAAUUCGUAGAUAUUCGCAAGAACACCAGUGGCGGAGGCGGCUCACUGGCCCGAUACUGACGCUGAGGUGCGAAAGCGUGGGGAGCAAACAGG
rnacentral:rRNA from 1 species